GAUGAACGCUGGCGGCGUGCCUAAUACAUGCAAGUCGAGCGAACGGACGAGAAGCUUGCUUCUCUGAUGUUAGCGGCGGACGGGUGAGUAACACGUGGAUAACCUACCUAUAAGACUGGGAUAACUUCGGGAAACCGGAGCUAAUACCGGAUAAUAUUUUGAACCGCAUGGUUCAAAAGUGAAAGACGGUCUUGCUGUCACUUAUAGAUGGAUCCGCGCUGCAUUAGCUAGUUGGUAAGGUACCGGCUUACCAAGGCAACGAUGCAUAGCCGACCUGAGAGGGUGAUCGGCCACACUGGAACUGAGACACGGUCCAGACUCCUACGGGAGGCAGCAGUAGGGAAUCUUCCGCAAUGGGCGAAAGCCUGACGGAGCAACGCCGCGUGAGUGAUGAAGGUCUUCGGAUCGUAAAACUCUGUUAUUAGGGAAGAACAUAUGUGUAAGUAACUGUGCACAUCUUGACGGUACCUAAUCAGAAAGCCACGGCUAACUACGUG
rnacentral:rRNA from 1 species